ACACAAACACUCUAACCCCAAACACAAACAGUCGAACGCGAACUGAAGCACAUACCUCGUCGGCUCCGCCUUCUUCUCCGACGAGUGCGCCUUCUCGUGGAGUCCGCUGCCGCCCUCCGAUCGACGCGCCUCCGCCUCGCCGUCGCCGGCGUGCGGGCACCCAACAACGCCUAACACUUCCCCACCAACUUCUCCAAGCCCCCCGCCGGAAUCCGAGGAAUCCGACGCCUCGCCGCGACGGAUGGAAGGAACCCACCUGGUCCAGCCGGCGGUGGCGGCGCUCGUCGCGGCUUUCGUGGCGGCCAGAGCCUACCGGCGGAAAUCGCUCGACCUCUCCGGGGCGCUCGCCGGGUUCCUCGUCAUGGCCGUCCACAUCGCAGCUGGGUACAGGUACGGAGCCAUGCUGCUCGUUUUCUUCUUCAGUUCAUCGAAGUUGACCAAAGUCGGGGAGGAGAAGAAGCGCGAGGUUGACGCUGAUUUCAAGGAGGGUGGACAGAGAAAUUGGAUACAGGUCCUAUCAAAUAGCGCUGUUGCUACGGUUCUCGUUGUGGUUAUCUGCACAUUAACUGGAUGGAAGGAUGAGUGUUUGGACUCUGGAAAAUCAGCUCUGAUUACUUCACUCAUUGGUGGCGUAAUUGGUCACUAUUGAAGCAUUAAAUGGAGAUAGAUUUAGCUGUUUAGCAAGGUUUUACUUAGACAUGUUCACUCUUGUGUACUUAUCAGUUGAUAUUGGAAACAAAGAUAGUCUUUGUGUGGUCUUUGAAUCAUUGGCAAUUCUGGGUUUGCAUUGAUUACUUAUGAUAAAAUUGCAUGUGCAGUGUCUUUGCUUUCUGGAACACACGAGCGGCGAUCCUGUUUUUUAGUGGUAGGCUAGGCUUCAUUAUGGCAGAUACUGGUGAGGCUAAGCAGGCUGAACCAGGAAAUUUGGAGGAGACAGGUGAAUAGCAAACAUCUGAACAGGUGUGUAGCUUUUUCAGGAAGCCAUCAAGAAAUAAGAAUAUCAGGAAGCGGGAUGGUUGAAGAAGACGAUGAUGAAGAUUCCAAGACGGAGAGUUCAGUGUUACAUAAUCAGAGGAAACCUCAAAGGACAGGCAAUAAGCUGUAUUUUUCAACUGGAUCCUCCAAGAGCUCUGUGUCUGCAGAAUCAACCUUUGAUUCUGAUGAGUAGAUUCUGAAGAAAGGAGAAGAUUGCAUAUUUUACUCUAGAAAGUAAAACCCUUUUCAGCAUAUUUACCGAGCUCACCAUACCUUAUGAAUUCGUGGGCAUUGGCAAGAAGUGCAGCUUUUCUUAUUUCCGAUUCUCUAGCAUCUUCUUUUCCAAUUGUAUGAAUGUAUUUCUUAAACAUUUACUUCUCUC